AUACUUACCCGGCGUCGGAAUACCGUGAUCAUGCAGGCGGUGCCCCCGGGAUGCGGCUGCUCCAUUGCACUGCGGAGUGGUCAAUUGACCCUUGCGAUUAUUUUUAUAUUUUAUAAGUUUCACUUCUACCGUGUGUGACUUGCACACACACACA